rnacentral:rRNA from 1 species
UACGAAGGGGGCUAGCGUUGCUCGGAAUCACUGGGCGUAAAGGGCGCGUAGGCGGCGUUUUAUGUCGGGGGUGAAAGCCUGUGGCUCAACCUCAGAAUUGCCUUCGAUACUGGGACGCUUGAGUUUGGUAGAGGUUCGUGGAACUGCGAGUGUAGAGGUGAAAUUCGUAGAUAUUCGCAAGAACACCGGUGGCGAAGGCGGCCCACUGGACCAUUACUGACGCUGAGGCGCGAAAGCGUGGGGAGCAAACA